rnacentral:rRNA from 1 species
UGGGGAAUAUUGGACAAUGGGCGAAAGCCUGAUCCAGCCAUGCCGCGUGUGUGAAGAAGGUCUUCGGAUUGUAAAGCACUUUAAGUUGGGAGGAAGGGCAGUUACCUAAUACGUGAUUGUCUUGACGUUACCGACAGAAUAAGCACCGGCUAACUCUGUGCCAGCAGCCGCGGUAAUACAGAGGGUGCAAGCGUUAAUCGGAAUUACUGGGCGUAAAGCGCGCGUAGGUGGUUUGUUAGGUUGGAUGUGAAGUCCCCGGGCUCAACCUGGGAACUGCAUUCAAAACUGUCAAGCUAGAGUAUGGUAGAGGGUGGUGGAAUUUCCUGUGUAGCGGUGAAAUGCGUAGAUAUAGGAAGGAACACCAGUGGCGAAGGCGACCACCUGGACUGAUACUGACACUGAGGUGCGAAAAGCGUGGGGAGCAAAACAGGAUUAGAUACCCUGGUAGUCCACGCCGUAAAACGAUGUCAACUAGCCGUUGGGAGCCUUGAGCUCUUAGUGGCGCAGCUAACGCAUUAAGUUGACCGCCUGGGGAGUACGGCCGCAAGGUUAAAACUUAAAUGAAUUGACGGGGUCUAGCUG